CUAUAUCUAAGGAAGUCAUCGGACUAAGUCCGGCAUCAUAGAGAGCUUGCUCCUCAGUAGCUCUCGUUGCGCAGAGAAUUCCAUAUCCUUCAGUUGGAGAAAGUCCUUCCGAUCGAUGACUUCAACCCGACUAUGUUCAUUGGGACUUGUUCUUGAAUCUCUCCAGAAGGAAGGAAAACCCCAAGACGAAGAAGAAGAACAAAGAAAAAUUAGUUCUUCCACCCAUGAAUGGAUGAAAGAAGGCCAG
rnacentral:lncRNA from 1 species